ensembl:lncRNA
GCCCGGCCUCGCGCCCCUUCCGCCGGCCGCCCGGCCCGGCCCGGCCCCGCCUGCCCUCCGGUGCCUUGGCGGGGGCUGACAGGGCCGGCCGUGAGGCGGCCAGAUCCACGGCGGCACCCGUGGGCGCGGAGGGGACCCGCCAGCAACGUUCGCCUCAGCGGUGCCCCUGGUCAAGAUACAGAAGAAUAAGAGAUGGCCGAAUGGAAGCUAGAGCGCAGCAGAUAGCUAGUCUGUGACAGCCUAACGGAGGUGGGAGACGAUACAUGUGAGAUGAAAAUCAGCUUCUGCAGCAGCAGUCCCAGAUGGACUGUUGUGAUUUACUGAGCAGUCAAGACUGUAGAAGCCAGUGACUGACACCCUGCCACUGACCUGAUCUUUGUCUCUGAUGGAGCUGAGAACAACUGGCAGCAGAAAUGAAGGCUGUGACAUUUGUGCUGGAAAUGUUACUGAAGGGACUCUAGAUGGGCUAUACUUUGGUCCUCCUUUGAAGCCAACAGCUUCAUAUCCAUUGACUUCAAUCAGAACAAUAUUAUGGCAAGUACCUUUCAUAACUGUUUUUAUUCUGUUUUUUCUUUAUGGAAGAUAUGUUUAUGCACUUGCAUUACCAGUUCAUCUGUUUGUCUGUCUUUGCAGUAACUUUUAACUGUAUUUAACAGAGGGUACUUGACUCAAAGAUACUAAAUCCCUAUAAGUUUCAUGAAAAUAAGAAUCUGGGUAGAAGACCCCAAGUCCUACUAAGGCAAACGCAGAGAGAGACUGACCUUUAACCAUUCUGCUUGGUCUGCCCAACAGCCAAGAGGCAACAGCUUGUAUAUAGGAGCAAACUAACUGUGAAACCCUGGGCUAAUCACAGUAUGUUCCAUAUUGUAAAACCUUAAUUUUACAACUAGAGAUAAGGGGGUGUAAGGAAGGUAGAAUGACUAAAAUCUCAGAUUUUACCAGAAAUCAAACUUGGUCCUUAGACCUUUCAAUGGCAAUAUAUUUAUCCUGUAUUUGAUGGAGAACAAAUACAGAUCUUCCCCCUCAAGACUUAGAUCUCCUUUACUGACUUUCAAGUAGUUGUCCUCAUGGAAUACGUUUGCCCCAUUGACAGUAUUAAAAAGUUUCAUUACUUGCUGACUCUUUUUUUUCAUGAUCUCUACAUGUACAGCUGCUGAGUAGUUAAAAUAGUUCAAUGUGAACCAACAAAAUUCAUAAAGGAUAAGCCCUCAAUAGCCAUUAAGAACAAUAAUCAGAUGCAACUUCUUGCUUGAGAAAUUCUUUAUUUUCUUACUGGCGGAAGGGGGAAUAUGCCAGAAUCAGGAUGACUCUGCUCAUGCUCAUGCCUGGUUCUUCUGAGUGUCCUGUAAUGGCUAAUGAUUGUUCUUUCUCAUUACUGCGGAAACAAUGCAAUACCAGGAAUGGGCACAGGGCCAAAACCCAUCUCCACUCUCCAGAAUCCCACUGAAUAGUCACUACAUUGAGAACAUAUGAGACAUUAAACUGAAAAGAAUAGACACUAUACUGGGUUGUUAUGUUGGAGAUAGGCUACUGGGCUAGGUGGACCUUUGCUCUGAGCAGCAUGGCCUUUCUUAUGUUCUCUGUUCUUACAAGCUGUUGAAACUUGAUUAAAGGUCAUAUUUCAGUCAGAAACCUCUGUGUGACACGUGCCAGCUCUCUAGGACCUGCAGCUAGGGUAGGAUUACCUGUGAUUUAUGACAGCUCUGGAAGUUAUAACUAGUGCUGUUAGUGCACAGAAGAACUGAAAGUAUGAAUAUGCUGUUUAGAAAGUAAACCCCUCACAAAAAAAGAAAGGUAAAACUAAAACCUAAAAACUUCACUUUCUUUGAAGUGUACUUUUGCUCUAGACUUGAGACCUGUAUGGAACUACCUACCGCAUGGUAUAACCUGCAUAAUUUUCUAUGUUAGUUUCUAGUUCGAGUGCAAGCUCAUAAAAUUCCUGUUAGGCACAUUCUUGAAUAGGAUGCUGUACUAUUCUGUAGCAUCUGGAAACUAUGUAGUUGCAAUAAGUAUCUGCAUGUGACAAUGUCAAAACCAUGUGAAUGCAUAAGAUGCCUCAUCUACAUAUGAUAAAAGAGGGAGUUGGAUGAGAUAAUGCAAACUAGUUCAUCAAAAGCAUGGGUACCAUUGUUGAAGUCAUCUGGCCUUGAAUAUUUGCAUGUCUAUCAUGGAAAUACUUCAUGGUCAAAAUAGCAAUAUGCUGUACACAGUAAUCCUAUCACAUUAUUAUUUGUGAGACUUUUUUUUUCCCACUCUGAGAUGGACAACCAGGAUUUUCUGGAUCUUGGAUAGUCAACUAUCUUCAAUAAUUGAGUCAACUCCCCCUGAUUUUACUGUGUUAAGAGCCACAUAAGGGCAAAUUAUGAAGGGUGAGAUACAUUUUGUGGAGCUCAAUCCUAAAUGAUUCAUGUGAAAAGAACAUUACAUGUAGUCAGUCAGUACUUCUAUGAACAGAGCACUUGCAAGACUGUUCCUUAUUUCUACAAAUAUUUAUAUUAAUUAGAAUGAAACUAUAAAUACAUAUGACAAGGAGACUACCCACAAUUGUAUUCCCAAAUGAAAAUCAAUCUGAUGUGCUCUGCAGAUAUUGUUGGACAAAAUAAUCAUGGUAAUAUAUGAGGAGGGAAAUAGUUGAAUAUCCACAAUUUUCUUCAUAUGAAAGUCCACUUAAGAUGAGGUUGCAGCACUCUUCAAAAUAGAACUUAAACUUUAAGAUUUUUUUUUUUCCCCUAAAACCUUACAAAACCCCCAAACAAAUGACAGAGAACAGUACUAACCCCAAUGUAUUUUCACUCCACUGAUUUAAGGAAUGAAACUUUCAGUGUAAUUUAAAAUGUAGUUCUGUAUGUGCUUGGUAUAAAGAGUUCCUACUAAUCUUCAAAGCUGUGAUUUUUGCUCUCUAAAUUUGGUCUUCUCUGUCAUCCCUUAGUUCCCCAGAAUGCAUCAUCUGACAGUCCAUUAGUUGUGUGAGGGACAGAACCUGUUCCCUUCAGUGCCAAGGAGGGGAUUGGUGUUCAGUGGGAAUCUUAUGCGUGAGAGGCCCAUCUGGGACUGGCUGAUGAAUGGCUGUAGUCAAACUUAAGUUACAUUCUUUCAAGCAGUUCUAGAAUGGAAAACAUUAUCUGUGGGCUAUAUGGCUCUUGAUUACAUUAAAGCAAUUAUUUUCUGGCUCCUGUGAAACUUUGGAGAUGGGGAAAUGUUCAAAAAGGUCUGUGUAAAACAGAUUGCUGGUUCCAGCUCCCAGUGGCAGGCAGAAUACCAGAAAUUGUUCUGCCAGAAGGGAGGCCGCCUGAAGUCACCUUCCCCUGGCUUUGCAUCCUGUGUCUGGGUUCUUUGAUUGCUAGCAAGGAUUGACCUCAACUAGUCUUUUCUUCAGUAGGUGCACCAACAUAGUCGUCUUUUUUUCUGCUUUAAUCCCCCUUUCCAUUAAAUGUGUGUGAACGUGAUCACCUCAUUUUCUGUGGUUGAAAUUCGCAAAUAAGUUUAUGAUUUAUUCAGGAAAUGCAUCCAUCCGUGUGAACACAGUGUAGUUGUCUGCAAGUGAUUUCCCUAGGAAACCAGGCUACAAAUGGUGAUACUCAUGCUUUACCCUCUGUGCCAAUUAACUCCAUUGUGACUAUCUAGCCAAUGUCUUUCAGUGUGAGACGCCUUUUUGGUGAAAAAUGCUUUGGCCCAAUUGCUUUUGGCAGUAAUACUUAUUCUAGGGAUAUUUCAAAACUGCUCACAGUGAACUGCAUGAUGCAAUCGAUCAUAAAAAUUUGUAGUGAAGGGCAUAUAAUUUACAUAGGAAACUUAAAACUUUGUAUUAAUUUCCUCACUGAAAAUAACUCCCUUUUAUAAUCUCACUGAUGUGAUUCUUUGUUGUGAUCUGUGUCUUCUGAGUUUAUAAAUGAGUUUUCUUAAAAUGAAGGACUUCAGAGCGGUGUGGCAGCAGAGCACCUGCACUCUUUUUGCCAGCAACCUCUGUCCCUCCAGUAGCUGAGCCGUGCUGUGCCCCGCAGCCUGCCCGCGUGGCUGCACCAGCUCCCUCCAGUACCACUUCAUUGCCGUGGUGUUACUCGCUUCCUAGGAAGAACAGGUAUUGCUGUGCUGAGGGCUCCGGAACAGAAAGGUUGAGAUACACUGGAAAGAGGAACUUUUUUUCCGCAGGGAUGUCAGCCUGCUUUGGAUUUAAUGACUGUUUUACUUAGGAAUAUGUUCAGGUGCUUAUUUAAAUUAAGCUUUGUAUCAUCCUGUUUUUUGUUUGUGG